rnacentral:rRNA from 1 species
AUUGAACGCUGGCGGCAGGCCUAACACAUGCAAGUCGAGCGAGCGGCGGACGGGUGAGUAGUGUAUGGGGACCUGCCCGAUAGAGGGGGAUAACUACUGGAAACGGUGGCUAAUACCGCAUACUACCGGAUGGGGCCAUAUGGGAUUAGCUAGUAGGUGGGGUAAAGGCUCACCUAGGCGACGAUCUCUAGCUGGUCUGAGAGGAUGAUCAGCCACACUGGGACUGAGACACGGCCCAGACUCCUACGGGAGGCAGCAGUGGGGAAUAUUGCACAAUGGGCGCAAGCCUGAUGCAGCCAUGCCGAGUGGAUGAAGAAGGCCUUAGGGUUGUAAAGUACUUUCAGCGGGGAGGCGUUACCCGCAGAAGAAGCACCGGCUAACUCCGUGCCAGCAGCCGCGGUAAUUC